UACGUAGGGGGCGAGCGUUGUCCGAAGUUACUGGGCGUAAAGCGCGCGUAGGUGGUUCGGUAAGUCGGAUGUGAAAUCUCCAGGCUCAACCUGGAGGGGUCAUUCGAUACUGCCGUGACUAGAGGUCGGUAGGGGAGUGUGGAAUUCCUGGUGGAGCGGUGAAAUGCGUAGAUAUCGGGAGGAACACCUGCGGUGUAGACGGCUUACUGGACCGUGACUGACGCUGAGGCACGAAAGCGUGGGUAGCAAACAGG
rnacentral:rRNA from 1 species